AACGAACGCUGGCGGCGUGUCUUAAGCAUGCAAGUCGAGCGGCAAGGGCAGCAAUGCCCCUAGAGCGGCGGACUGGUGAGUAACACGUGGGUGAUCUACCUCGGGGUUGGGGAUAGCCAUUAGAAAUAGUGGGUAAUACCGAAUACGCUGCCUUGACUACGGUCAGGGCAGGAAAGGCGCUACGGCGCCGACCUGAGAUGAGCCCGCGCCCCAUUAGCUAGUUGGUGAGGUAACGGCCCACCAAGGCUAUGAUGGGUAGGCGGCCUGAGAGGGUGUACGCCCACACUGGGACUGAGAUACGGCCCAGACUCCUACGGGAGGCUG
rnacentral:rRNA from 1 species